GGAGCUCUGGUUGCAGUUUUCUCUUUUGUGGACUUUUCCCUGUGAGCCUAUAUCUUUAGAGACAGGGAGGCUCAGACUUUUCAGAGGAGAGGGAUGGGAGACCGAUGUAUUCAUAUGCAAUAGAAUCCUUCCCUCACAUGGCACAAGCUUGAACACAAUUGCAGCCCUCAUGCAGGCUGUGUUUGUGGAGGUGCCUGAAAGUAGAGAUAAAAACCUCCUGUGCUUUGUCUCUUUGAGGACAAGAGAUAAAUAGGUGAAUGAUGUCACUCCUCUUCUGUGACAGGUAACCACAUUCCUCUUUAUAAUACUGUCAAUCUCAUCUUAAAGGUAAGUAGAGUUCUUAUCCUAGUGACUCAGCUCAGUUGCCUGUGCUGGAGCUUCUAAUUGAUGACAGUACAUUCCAUUUUGCAUGCUUUUAUCAGCAUUUAAGAGGGUGGGUUUUCCAUGCACCAAAGGACUGGAAACUUGCUACUAUAACAGGAUCAAGAUGUCCAGGUAUUCUUCCAACAGCAUCAAGGACUUCUUGCUAUCAUGCAUUUCUGAUUUUAUGUUUUACAGAAGCUCCAGUUAUAUGAAGAUAGUUCUAUGGAUCAAUAUGAUAAUAGUUUAGAAGUAAAUCUGUCUUUCUGUAGUAGCCAGAAACACCACCUUUUUCAUACCUCCUCCAUCUCCCAAGCCAGAAGCACCAUGAGACUUUCAGUGAAAUCCUGGGAAUGGCAAGGCUAGCACCAGAGGUGACCAGAAGUUUUGGAAUUUAAAUCCAGUAACUGUGUCUGUUAAUCUUGUAUUGGUUACAAAAAUAAAUUCCCUAAUUGAGGUGCCAUUGUCAAACCUGGAAUUCAUCAGCUCCCCCUGCAGCAGCUGGUAGGCAUUCUUUUCCAACGUAGAAAGCACCACACUGACUAUGGCAUGCCCUGGGCUCCUCUACAGUGAUGUCUCUUACAAACAUCUCCAGUGCUAAGCAAGCAGGGUGACAGUAAAGUGCUCUCUUCCUGCAGGACUCCCGUAUCAAGUACAUAAAAAAAACCAUAGUGUGUGAAAACAAUGAAAUAGCUAUAUUUAGUCAUUUCUAACUUGAAAUAGAGCUUCUGCUUGAAAUGAGUUUACUAUGAGGUCCGGUAAAAAUCAUAGAAUCAUAGAAUGGCUUGGGUUUGAAGGGACCUCAAAGAUCAUCUAAUUCCACCCUCCUGCCAUGGGCAGGGUUGUCAACCACUAAAUCAGGUGCUAGAUCAGUCUGCUCAAGGUCCCAUCCAACCUGGCUUUGAACACCUCCAGGGAUGGGACAUCCACAAGUUCUCUGGGAAACCUGUUCUAUCAUAUCACCAACCUCUGACUGAAAAAUGUUCCACCUAACAUGUAGCCCAAAUCUCUCCUCUUUUAGUUUAAAACUGUUCCUCCUUGUCCUAUCACUAUUGGACCAUGGAAAAAGUUGGUGUCCCUCCUGUUUAUAGGUUCUGCUCAAGUACUGGAUGGCCGCAGUGAGGUUUACUCAGAGCCUUCUCAUCUCCAGACUGAACAAGGCUCCUUCAACCUUUCUUCAUAGGAGAGGUGUUCCAGCCUUCUUUGUGGCCCUCCUCUGGAACUGCUCCAACAACUCCUUAUCUUUCUUAUGCUGGGAACCUCAGAUGCAGUACUCCAGAUGAGGCAUCACAAGGUCGGAGUAGAGGGGGACAAAAACCCCUCUUCUUGUGAACUCUGGCCACUCCUCUUCUGAUGCAGCCCAAGAUGUAGUUGGCCUUCCAGGCUGCAAGCACACACAGCUGGCUCAUGUCCAGCUUUUAAUCCACCAGAACCCCCAAGUCCUUCUCUGCAGGGCUGCUCUCAAUUAGUUCUUCUCCCAGUCUGCACACGUCUGGAAUUGCUGUGACUUAAGUGCAAAACCUUGCACUUCACCCUACUGAACCUCGGUAUGUUCAUGUGGGCUCACUUCUCAAGCUUAUCCAGGUCCUUCUAGAUGGCAUCCCUCCCUUCUAUUAUAUCAACUACAUCACUUAGCUAGGUGUCGUCAGCAAACUUGCUGAGGGUGCACUUGUUCCCACUGUCUAGGUCACUGAUAAAGAUGUUAAAGAGCACCUGUCCUAAGACUGACAGACAUGACUUUUCAAAUAGGAUGAAGAGUGGCUUGGCAUUACAUCAGCCACUUCCACUGGAACUCUGGGAUGCAUGUUGUCCAGCCCAAUAGGCUUGUACAUAUUCAGUCUCAUGAGACAGUCUUGGACUUCCUCUUCUCUUACAAUGAGAGGGUUUUGCUCCUCCAGCCCCUGCCUGGAGGUUCAGUGUCAUGAAAUAUGUGGGAAGCCUGACUCUCAGUGAAGACCAAGGCAGAGAACUUGUUAAGUAUCUCAGUCUUCUCCAUGUCUGUUGUAGCCAGUUCUCAUUAAUCAGAGAGGGUAUAUUCUCCUUGAUCUGUGUCUUCUGACUAGUGUACCUGUAGAAUCCCUUCUUGUGAUUUUUCACAUCCCUCACCAAAUUCAGUUCUAUGUUUCUUUUGAAAUUGUUCCUAAGCAGGAAGAGGAGAUUCAUAGAGGAUUUAGGAAAACACAUCUUCAUGUUUCAGAAUCUUUAGGCAUUUCACUGAAAUACAGAAAUGUCUGUAACAUAAUGCAUUCUGCACAACUUAUUCUUCUAAGGCAACAUAUGAUAAAUUCUACUAUAAAGCCGUAGAAAUGAUACACGAAGCUUUCUAGGAUUUACAUGUUGCUUUGCCUUUUCAAUAACUUCUCUAAAACCCCAUGUAUCAUAGUCUAAUGAUGAUCUAUAACUAACAGUGGAGAAAAGGCAUGUGAGACAUUGAGAAUUACAUUGUCAUAAUGUGGCAUAUCUAUUUCAUUCAUAUUUCAUUUAUGUAGUUCAGGCUUUAGUUUUCAAUCCAAAAAUAAGAACUGGAAUAAAUUCAAUGAGGAAUCAAAGAAAUCCCACCAAAUGACCAAAAUAUUUCCCAAAUUCCUAUUUUCAUUAUUCAUAUUUCAAGGAAUUAAGUAUUGUUGUAGUGCAAGAAAUAACUGUACUCUACUCUUAGGGUUAUGAAAUGGAUAAGCUAUUAGGAAUUUUCUAUUUCUAACUGAUUGUGAUCUCACAUCAGUAUACCUCUGCUCACUUUUAAGGAAUUACCUCAGAAUUACUCUUAUGACAAAGGAGAGCAGGCUCCUGCAAUUCUAUAACUACUCAUACUAAGCUGUUCACACAUGCCUCCCAGAGUAAGGGCUUUCAAGAGAAUAUUGUGGAAAUUAGAUUCCAGUUUUCAUCACUUCAUUUAAUCACUUAC